UACGAAGGGUGCAAGCGUUACUCGGAAUUACUGGGCGUAAAGCGUGCGUAGGUGGUUUGUUAAGUCUGUUGUGAAAGCCCCGGGCUCAACCUGGGAAUGGCAAUGGAUACUGGCAAGCUAGAGUGCGGUAGAGGGUAGUGGAAUUCCCGGUGUAGCGGUGAAAUGCGUAGAGAUCGGGAGGAACACCAGUGGCGAAGGCGGCUUUUUGGUCUGUAACUGACGCUGAGGCGCGAAAGCGUGGGGAGCAAACAGG
rnacentral:rRNA from 1 species